rnacentral:rRNA from 3 species
UAAGGAAUAUUGGGCAAUGGAGGCAACUCUGACCCAGCCAUGCCGCGUGCAGGAAGACGGCCCUAUGGGUUGUAAACUGCUUUUAAUAGGGAUUAAAGUCAACUACGUGUAGUUGUUUGCAAGUACCUAUAGAAUAAGCAUCGGCUAACUCCGUGCCAGCAGCCGCGGUAAUACGGAGGAUGCAAGCGUUAUCCGGAUUUAUUGGGUUUAAAGGGUGCGCAGGCGGACUAAUAAGUCAGUGGUGAAAUUUACAUGCUUAACAUGUGACGUGCCAUUGAUACUGUUAGACUAGUAUACAAAUGACGUAGCUGGAAUGUGUUAUGUAGCGGUGAAAUGCAUAGAUAUAACACAGAACACCGAUCGUGAAGACAGGUUACGAAUUUGUGAUAGACGCUCAUGCACGAAAGCGUGGGGAUCAAACAGG